ensembl:lncRNA novel transcript
GGGCCCAGCGGCCAACAGUUUCCCUUAGGCCGCGACAGGAAAUGUGUGCGGAGCGCUGCCAGGCCCGGUGCAGCCCUGAGUUAUUCUGGGGUCAGGAACACAGCUGGCGCCGGGUACAGGGGACGCAGUCGACUAGAAGGUCAAACACCCUGCUUAGAGCAAGAGGAGAAAUUCGCCACUGGGAUGAAGUGUGUGGUUUUUCUCCGUUCAGGGAGUUUCAUCAGGACCGCAGAACCCAUAACACUAGCUCUGUCACUGUCUUCCCCAAACAAGGCUGAAGCUGUGCUGCAUAUUCUUACCUAGCCUAGGAAGUCAUAAAACAUCACUCUGCUUCAUUCUGUUGGAUACUGAUGAGUCAAAACUUGCCAUUUUCAAAGGAAAAGAAUGCAGACACCUCUUAAAAGAGCAGGUAGUUAGAAUGCAACACUGGAAGAAUGUGAGUUUGAGACUAGAAAGAAAAAUUGAGGUAGCAUUCAUAUGGCAACUUCAUAUGACUUGAUGUUUUGCUGUGGGAAUAAUAGUGAAGAAGAUGGUAACAGUACCUAUUUUUUUUGGAACACAUAUUUUAUGGGAAGACACAGUACCCAUCCCCCAAAAAAAGACAAAUAAAUAUAUGCAUAAAA